UGCGCCUGUAGCUUCAACAGUUUUUCCUCCACGAGGCCCAGGAGGUUGGGCAGAUAGUCACCUGCCUUGGGAUCCAGCUCCUUUCCUGCGAAGCGGCCGGCCUCCUGCAGCCCGGGGGCGGAACCAGAGAGAAGAGCCCAGUCACACUACUGAUUCAGGCCACUUCUACUUGGGGUGUUGCUCUGCCCCUGGAGCUGCUCCUGUCCCCUGGAGCCUCUUCAACCUCACCUGGAGCAGCCACCUGCGUGUGCACAGCGGACUUCCCCUCGCUGGCGUGGAAAGGUGCCGCCUUGGAAUGGAGUGAGUGCCAGGCCUGCACUGAGCCCUUGCCUC